UGGGGAAUAUUGCACAAUGGGCGAAAGCCUGAUGCAGCAACGCCGCGUGCGGGAUGACGGCCUUCGGGUUGUAAACCGCUUUCAGCNGGGACGAAGGUUUUCUGACGGUACCUGCAGAAGAAGCACCGGCUAACUACGUGCCAGCAGCCGCGGUGAUACGUAGGGUGCGAGCGUUGUCCGGAAUUAUUGGGCGUAAAGAGCUUGUAGGCGGUCCGUUGCGUCGGAAGUGAAAACUCAGGGCUUAACCCUGAGCCUGCUUUCGAUACGGGCGGACUUGAGGGAUGUAGGGAGAACGGAAUUCCUGGUGGAGCGGUGGAAUGCGCAGAUAUCAGGAGGAACACCAGUGGCGAAGGCGGUUCUCUGGACAUUUCCUGACGCUGAGAAGCGAAAGCGUGGGGAGCAAACAGGCUUAGAUACCCUGGUAGUCCACGCCGUAAACGGUGGGCACUAGGUGUGGGACCCAUUCCACGGGUUCCGUGCCGUAGCUAACGCAUUAAGUGCCCCGCCUGGGGAGUACGGCCGCAAGGCUAAAACCUCAAAGGAAUUGACGGGGUCAUAGCUGUUUCCUG
rnacentral:rRNA from 1 species